rnacentral:ncRNA from 1 species
AUCUUCAGGGAAGGGUUAAAGUCCCAACCGGCGGUAAAGUCCGCGAGCGAAAGCUGAAUUGGUUAGAUUCCAAUACCGACAGUAAAGUCUGGAUGAAAGAAUG